GGUGAGGUGUCCGAGUGGCUGAAGGAGCACGCCUGGAAAGUGUGUAAACGUUUGCGCGUUUCGAGGGUUCGAAUCCCUCUCUCACCGCCA
rnacentral:tRNA from 2 species